rnacentral:piRNA from 1 species
UAAUGGCAUGAACUGGAUGGCUCUUUUGG